AUACGUAGGUGGCGAGUGUUGUCCGGAUUUACUGGGUGUAAAGGGUGCGUAGGCGGAUACUUAAGUCAGAUGUGAAAUACCCGGGCUCAACUUGGGUGCUGCAUUUGAAACUGGAUAUCUAGAGUGCAGGAGAGGAAAGCGGGAUUCCUAGUGUAGCGGUGAAAUGCGUAGAGAUUAGGAAGAACACCGGUGGCGAAGGCGGCUUUCUGGACUGUAACUGACGCUGAGGCACGAAAGCGUGGGGAGCAAACAGGAUGAGAUACCCUGGUAGUCCACGCCGUAAACUAUGAAUACUAGGUAUGGGGGAGCGAUACCUCCGUGCCGCAGUCAACGCAUUAAGUAUUCCACCUGGGGAGUACGAUCGCAAGAUUAAA
rnacentral:rRNA from 1 species